rnacentral:rRNA from 1 species
AGAGUUUGAUCCUGGCUCAGGAUGAACGCUAGCGGCAGGCUUAACACAUGCAAGUCGAGGGGUAACGAUAGUGUCGGACAGUUGACGACCGGCGCACGGGUGAGUAACGCGUAUACAACCUACCUUUAACAGGAGGAUAGCCCCGAGAAAUCGGGAUUAAUACUCCAUAAUAAUAGUUUCAGGCAUCUGAGAUUAUUUAAAACUUCGGUGGUAAAAGAUGAGUAUGCGUUCGAUUAGCUUGUUGGUGAGGUAAAGGCUCACCAAGGCGACGAUCCGUAGCUGGUCUGAGAGGAUGAUCAGCCACACUGGAACUGAGACACGGUCCAGACUCCUACGGGAGGCAGCAGUGAGGAAUAUUGGUCAAUGGGCGCAAGCCUGAACCAGCCAUGCCGCGUGCAGGAAGACGGCCCUAUGGGUUGUAAACUGCUUUUAUAUAGGAAGAAAAUGUUCUACGUGUAGAGCACUGACGGUACUAUAAGAAUAAGCAUCGGCUAACUCCGUGCCAGCAGCCGCGGUAAUACGGAGGAUGCAAGCGUUAUCCGGAUUUAUUAGGUUUAAAGGGUGUGUAGGCGGAAUUUUAAGUCAGUGGUGAAAUCUCACAGCUCAACUGUGAAACUGCCAUUGAUACUGAAAUUCUUGAGUAUAGUUGAGGUAGGCGGAAUGUGUAAUGUAGCGGUGAAAUGCUUAGAUAUUGCACAGCACACCGAUUGCGAAGGCAGCUCACUAAAUUACUACUGACGCUGAGGCACGAAAGCGUGGGGAGCGAACAGGAUUAGAUACCCUGGUAGUCCACGCCGUAAACGAUGAUCACUCGCUGUUGGCGAUACACUGUCAGCGGCAAAGCGAAAGCAUUAAGUGAUCCACCUGGGAAGUACGCCGGCAACGGUGAAACUCAAAGGAAUUGACGGGGGCCCGCACAAGCGGUGGAGCAUGUGGUUUAAUUCGAUGAUACGCGAGGAACCUUACCUGGGCUUAAAUGCAGAUUGACAGAUUGGGAAACCGAUUUUUCUUCGGACAAUUUGCAAGGUGCUGCAUGGCUGUCGUCAGCUCGUGCUGUGAGGUGUCGGGUUAAGUCCCAUAACGAGCGCAACCCCUAUCUUUAGUUGCCAGCGAGUAAUGUCGGGGACUCUAAAGAAACUGCCGGCGUAAGCCGAGAGGAAGGUGGGGACGACGUCAAGUCAUCACGGCCCUUACGUCCAGGGCUACACACGUGCUACAAUGGUUGAGACAAAGGGCAGCUACCUGGUGACAGGAUGCUAAUCUCUAAACUCAAUCUCAGUUCGGAUCGAAGUCUGCAACUCGACUUCGUGAAGCUGGAAUCGCUAGUAAUCGUAUAUCAGCCAUGAUACGGUGAAUACGUUCCCGGGCCUUGUACACACCGCCCGUCAAGCCAUGGAAGCUGGGGGUGCCUGAAGUCGGUGACCGCAAGGAGCUGCCUAGGGUAAAACUG